UACAAUUGAAAGUGGUUAGAGUAAACUCCAAUCGAAUCUGAUAUCCUACUCGAUAGGAUGCAAAAAUAAAUGUCAAAAAUUAGCGCUCGACAUAUAUUCGUAUCUAAAUUCGCAUGCGAAAAAAUAUCAAAAAUAUAUGGAUCUGAAUAUAGGUUUUUAAAAAUAUCCAACAGUAGUACUAUUCGACUGUUUUCAUCCUUUCGAGAUAAAGGGAUGUUAAUAUAUGUUGUAUUGUAAGGGCCUUAGGGAUAUAUAAAGUGGUUUUAUAUCGUAUUCUUUGUUUAUGUUAUUAUGUUUUUUAUGUUAAAAUUAUAUUUAUAUUUGUUAAAUAUUAAAUUUUAUUGAAUAACAUAUAUGUACAUAAAGUUUGAAUACGAGUGUGAAUCUUUUUAUUAUCUUAUUCGUUCUAAUUAUAAUUCACAUUUACAAAUUCGAGCCAUAUCUGAAUCUGAAUGCGAUUUCACCAUAUAUGAUAAAUAAAAAUUUAGCAUCCCACAUAUAUCCGCAUUUAUAUUCUCACCCGGAAAAAAGAAAGAAAGAAUGCAGAUACAAUUUUGUUAAAAAUCAUAUUGGUCCAAUUAUUAAU
rnacentral:lncRNA from 1 species